UCUAAAUAUAUUUUCUUCUAGAGAACUAGAGGACGAAAACGAAGCUUUGUGCCAGAUGAAGAAAAACCUGAGGAACGGAUUCCCAGAGAAAGAAGACAGCGGCAAUCUGUUCUGCAAAAGAAACCCAAAUCAGAGGACUUAAGGACUGAAUGUGCUACGUGCAAAGGGACUGGAGACAAUGAAAAUCUAGUCAGGUUCACAGAAUCAUAGGGUUUGAAAGAGGCAUCUGGAGAUCAUCAAAUCCAACCACCUUGCUAAAGCAAGUUUGCUUCAGUAGGUUGCAUGGGAAAGUGUCCAGGUGGGUUUUGAAUAUCUCCAGAGAAGGAGACUCUACAACCUCCCUGAGCAGCUUGUUCCAGUGCUCUGUCACCCUCUAAGUAAAGUUCUUUAUGUUCGUAUGGAAUUACCUGUAUUCCAGUUUGUGCUCAUUAACCAUUGUCCUUUUACUGGGCCCCACUGAAAAGAGGCUGUCCACAUCCUCUUGACACUCAUCCUUUAGAUAUUUGUAAGUAUCGAUACCAUCCCCACUCAAUCUCCUCUUCUCCAGGCUGAACAGUUCCAGGUUUUUCAGCCUU